AUUGAACGCUGGCGGCAGGCCUAACACAUGCAAGUCGAGCGGAUGAUGGGAGCUUGCUCCUGGAUUCAGCGGCGGACGGGUGAGUAAUGCCUAGGAAUCUGCCUGGUAGUGGGGGAUAACGUCCGGAAACGGGCGCUAAUACCGCAUACGUCCUGAGGGAGAAAGUGGGGGAUCUUCGGACCUCACGCUAUCAGAUGAGCCUAGGUCGGAUUAGCUAGUUGGUGGGGUAAAGGCCUACCAAGGCGACGAUCCGUAACUGGUCUGAGAGGAUGAUCAGUCAGACUGAAACUGAGACACGGUCCAGACACUUACGGUAGGCAGCAGUGGGGAAUAUUGGACGAUGGACGAGAGCCUGAUCCAGCCAUGCCGCGUGUGUGAAGAAGGUCUUCGGAUUGUAGAGCACUUUAAGUUUGGAGUAAGUGCAGUAAGUUAAUACCUUGCUGUUUUGACGUUACCAACAGAAUAAGCACCAGCUAACUACGUG
rnacentral:rRNA from 1 species